CUUUAUUGGAGAGUUUGAUCCUGGCUCAGGAUGAACGCUGGCGGCGUGCCUAAUACAUGCAAGUCGAGC
rnacentral:rRNA from 1 species